CGGUCUCAGGAUCGACAUCAGUCAGCGAGUUUCGCCCACUGGUGUUAAUUGCG
rnacentral:sRNA from 21 species